AGGACACUGAGACCCAGAACACUUAGACCCAGCACACUGAGACCCAGAACACUUAGACCCAGAACACUUAGACCAGGACACUGAGACCCAGAACACUUAGACCCAGCACACUGAGACCCAGAACACUUAGACCCAGCACACUGACACCCAGAACACUUAGACCCAGCACACUGAGACCAGCGCAAUUAGACCCAGAACACGUAGACCCAGCACACAGUCCGGAUCUCCUGCUGCAGCUUCGGGUCUUGUUGACAGGAGUCACACUGCGCUGAGCGCCGCCAUGUUGAAACCGCAGUGCAUUCUGGGAGGCGUAGUCUUCGAACAGAGGAAGAAGAAGAACCAGAAGUUGAUCUGACCCACUUCUCUCUUUAAACGUCACCUGCUCCGACUCCCAAUCUGUGGCCCUCGCCUCAGAGCUCCAGCCUCACAGCUCUCUGCCAUUUGAACAUCUGACAGGAGAAGACAAACAAUCCAGGACAACCCAGACUCUUUCAGACUCCAGAGAUGGACUCUGGGAUGUCUUUAAGCUUAAAGUGGGAGCCGUCCCACGCCCUGAUUUAUUCUGAUAU